rnacentral:rRNA from 1 species
UACGAGGGGGGCGAGCGUUGUUCGGAAUUACUGGGCGUAAAGGGCGCGUAGGCGGAUGUUUAAGUCAGAGGUGAAAGCCCAGGGCUCAACCUUGGAACUGCCUUUGAUACUGGGCAUCUUGAGUAUGGGAGAGGUGAGUGGAACUCCGAGUGUAGAGGUGAAAUUCGUAGAUAUUCGGAAGAACACCAGUGGCGAAGGCGACUCACUGGCCCAUUACUGACGCUGAGGCGCGAAAGCGUGGGGAGCAAACAGG